rnacentral:rRNA from 1 species
CCUACGGGAGGCUGCAGUGGGGAAUAUUGGACAAUGGGCGAAAGCCUGAUCCAGCCAUGCCGCGUGUGUGAAGAAGGCCUUCGGGUUGUAAAGCACUUUCAGUGGGGAAGAAAGCCUUGGGGCUAAUACCCUCGAGGAAGGACAUCACCCACAGAAGAAGCACCGGCUAACUCCGUGCCAGCAGCCGCGGUAAUACGGAGGGUGCGAGCGUUAAUCGGAAUUACUGGGCGUAAAGCGCGCGUAGGCGGUCUGAUAAGCCGGUUGUGAAAGCCCCGGGCUCAACCUGGGAACGGCAUCCGGAACUGUCAGGCUAGAGUGCAGGAGAGGAAGGUAGAAUUCCCGGUGUAGCGGUGAAAUGCGUAGAGCUCGGGAGGAAUACCAGUGGCGAAGGCGGCCUUCUGGACUGACACUGACGCUGAGGUGCGAAAGCGUGGGUAGCAAACAGGAUUAGAUACCCGAGUAGUC